UUUUUUUUUUUUUUUUUUUUUUUUUUUUUUUUGGUUGGGAGGUUUUUAAUGACUUCCAUGACUUCUAUUUCCUUAGGGGAAUAUUGGCCUGUUUACCUACUCUUGAUUAAAGUUUGGUACAUUUAAGUAUGGUCCCCUUUUCACUUCUAAUUUUGUUAAUUUGUGUCCUUUAGUUAGUUUGGCUAGAGGUUCAUCUAUUUUGUUGCUUUUCUCAAAGAACCAGCUUUUGGUUCUGUUGUUAGUUUUUUUUUUGUAUAUAUAUAUAUAAUUCUCAGUGUUUCCAUUUGGUUGAUUUUGGCCCUGAGUUUGGCUAUUUCCUGCCAUCUACUCCUCUUGGGUUCCUUUUGUUCUAGGGCUUUCGGGUGUGCUGUUAAGUUGAUAGUAUAGGAUCUCCAGGGCACUUAGUGCUAUGAAUUUUCCUUUUAGUACUGUUUUCAUUGUGUCCCAUAAGUUUGGGUGUGCUGUAUCAUCAUUUUUAUUGAGUUCUAGGGAGUCAUUAAUUUCUUUAUUUUGUCUCUGACCAAGUUAACAUUGAGUAGAGAGUUGUUCAGUUUCCAUGGCAUGUAAGUUUUCUGUUAUUUUUGUUGUUAUUGAAGUCUAGCCUUAGUCUGUGGUGAUCUGAUAGGAUGCAUGGGAUUUUGUCAGUCUUCUUGUAUCUUUUGAGGUCUGUGUUGUGAGCAAUUAUAUGGUCAGUUUUGGAGAAGGUACAGUGAGGUGCUGAGAAGAAGGUAUUUUUUUCUUUGUUUUAAGGUGAAAUGUUCUGUAUAUACCUGUUAAAUCCAUUUGGUUUGUAUUAGAUUCACUGUGUCUCUGUUGUUGUAAAAAUAUAAAAUAAAAAUAUAUAGUUGGUGUUUUACCCUGCUUGGUGCCCCAAGAUAUCUGCUAGAUAUCUUGGCAGAAACACAUCCCAGCCACACACUUUCCUACACUCAAACCCUCACAUAAAACAACACACAACACAAUAAUCUUUGACCCAAUUGGUAAGAUAUAAUUGCCCACUUAAACAUACAAAGCCCAGUACCAUCCAUCCCUUGAGAACAUUAAUAACAACCUGUAAAUACACAGAGCAGAAUCUUAACAUCACCUGCCAUCUUGUCCUGCCACGGCUCCUCUCCCUCCUGUCUCUUCCUCUCUCCUCAUCUCCCUCUCUUCCUUCAAACUUCUCUUCCGCCCAUCUUUCCUUCUCCUCCCAUGACAGGCCUCCUUCUAUCCUGUACCUGCCCCUCACCUGUACUUUACAAAUUCAAUGGGGAAAAGGUUCUGAUCAAGUCACCUGAUUCCUGAGUAUGUGACUAGGAAGCUGUCCUUGGGGCAGUGGUAUUAGCAUCAAAAUACAGUUAACUUCAGGGGAAACCACAACAUGUCUCUGUUUUGUGUCUGUUUCAAUGACAUGUCCAUUGGUGAGAGUGGGGUGUUGAAGUGUGCUUUGAGUUUUAGUAAAGUUUCUUUUAUGAAUGUGGGUGCCCUUACAUUUGGGACAUAGAUGUUCAGAAUUGAGACUUUCUCUUGGUGGAUUUUUCUUUUUGAUGAACGUGAGUGUCUUUCCCCACCUCACUUGAUACCUUCUAGUUGAAUAUUAGAAUGGCAACUUCUGCUUGUUUCUUGGGAUCAUUUGCUUGGAAGACUUUUUUUUAGCCUUUUACUCUUUUAUUAUCUGUCUUUGUCAUUGAGGUGUGUUUCUUGUAUGGAGCAAAGUGCUAGAUCCUCCUUGAAUGAUCCUGCUUGAGUAUCCAGUCUGUUGGUUUAAGUUUUUUUAUUGGGGAAUUAAGUAAGUUGAUAUUGAGAGAUAUUAAAUACAGAUGAUUCCUGUUAUGUUUGUUGUUGUAGGUGGCAUUAUGUAUGUUUGAUUCUCUCCUUUUGGUUUUAUUGUGAGAUGAUUAAUUUCUUGUUUUUUCUUUGGUGUAUAUACUCUCCUUGUGUUGGAGUUUUUCUUCUAGAAUACUCUGUAGGGCUGGAUUGGUAGAUAAAUAUUGUUUAAAUUUGGUUUUGUCAUGGAAUAUUUUGAUUUCUCUAUCUAUGAUAAUUGAGAGUUUUGCAGGGUAUAGUAGCUUGAGUUGGCAUUUAUGUUCUCUUAGGGUGUGCAUGACAUCUGUCCAGAUUCUUCUGGCUUUUAGGGUCUCUGUUGAGAAUUCUGGUGUAAUUCUGAUAGGUCUACCUUUAUAUUUGACCUUUUCCCAUACAGUUUUUAAUAUUCUUUCUUUGUUUUGUGCAUUCAGUGUUUUAUUAUUUGACAAGAGGAUUUUCUUUUCUGGUCCAAUCUAUUUGGUGUUCUCUAGGCUUCUUGUAUAUUUAGGUUGGGGAAGUUUUCUUUUAUGAGUUUGUUGAAGACAUUUUCUGACCCUUUGAGCUGGGAAAUCUUUACUCUCUUCUGUAUCGUGUCCUGGAUUUCCUGGAUGAUUUGGGUUAGGGUUUUUUUUUUCUGUUUUGAAUUUUCUUUGACUAUUGUGUCAAUAUCUUCUAAGGUAUCUUCUACACCUGAGAUCCUCCCUUCUAUUUCUUGUAUUCUGUUGUUGAUGCUUCUAUCUGUAGCUCCUGAUCCCUUUCCUAGGUUUUCCAUUUCCAGAGUUUUCUUUAUUGUUUCUACUUCUAUUUUUACAUCUUGGACUACUUUGUUUAAUUCCUUCACCUGUUUGGUUGUAUUUUCCUGUAUUUCUUUAAGGAAUUUAUUUGUUUCACCACUAGGGCUUCUACCUGUUUACCAGCAUUUUCUUGUGUUUCUUCCAGUUUCUUAAGUUUCUUCCUUAAAGGAUUCUAUUUUCUUCUUGAGAUGGAAUUUUAGGUCAACAUCCUGUUUUUCAGGUAUGUUGGUAUAUCCAGGGCUUGCUGUGAAGGGAGAACUGGUACCAAAGUAUAUGGGCUUCUGUUGCUUAUGGUCUUGUGUUUGCCUCUUGCCAUCUGGUUAUCUCUGGUGUUAACUGGCCUGGGUAUCUCUGUCUGGAGCCUGCCUCCUGGGUUGCUGCAGGUGUCCUGGUAGACCUGUUCCCCUGGCUGUAGCAGAUCUCCUGGGAGGUCUUCAGACUAUGGGGUCUUCAAAGGGGAAUGCAUGCUGAUGAUCUUUUGCCCUGGCUGCAGUGGAUAUCUUGGGAGGCCUUCAGACUGUGGGAUCUGUUGCUCUGGGUGCAGCAGAUCUCCUGAGAGGCCUUCAGACUAUGGAGUAUAUUGCCCUGGGUGCAGCAGAUCAACUGAGAAUUGUCUAGACUGUGGAGUCUUCAGAGGGGCAGACAAGCUGCUGAUCUGACCAGGUGGAAAGUGCAUGCUGGAAAGGGGUUGGAGUUUGAGCCUUAAUGAGAUUCUUUUAAACAUUUGCAUAUGUUGACAUUCUCACUUCUGAUUUUGCACUAAAGGUUUCUAACCAAAGAUGUGAGUAACCUGUACCCAGGGCUCCAGCCACAAGAAAAUACUACAAAUUUCCUCUGUUCAAUUUUUGUUAGUAUUCUCAUUUUCUUCUCUUAUUUCACCACCCUCUAUGAUUUUGCCAUAUGGAUGAAAGAAAUAAUUGUUCUUAGAGAUUGAUACUAUUGUGCAGGGCAAGUGAAAAGGGUUUAGAGAGUACUUAAAACCCAUCUUCAAUCUGAGCAAUUCAGUCAUCUGAAUUGCAAAAUGAGGUUCUGGGCUGAGAUGCUAGCUUAUUGUUAUACAGUAUACCUAGCAAGCACAAUGCUCUCCAUUUGUUGCUCUGGUCCCCACUGGAAGAGCACCCCCGGUUUAGUGAGGGGGUACAAAGGGGCUGCCAUUUCAGCAAACCCAGGAAUCCAGAGGUGGCAAAAUCCCGCUGUCCCCAAAAACUCUCGUAGCUGUUGGCCAUUUUUGGGGGCAGUGAUGCCGGCCACAGUCUGUUUCCUGGCUGGGGUCAGCCAUCGCUGUCCAUCCCGUAGCUGGUAUCCUAAAUAAGUAACCUGGGUCUGGCAAAUUUGAGCCUUUUUGGCAGAGGCUCGAUAGCCCAAUCGUCCCAAAGUCUGUAAGAGGGAUUCAGUUCCCUGUUGGCAUGCAGUUUCAGAAGUGGCCGCUAGGAGGAGGUCAUCUACGUACUGCAGGAGUAUGAGGGUGGGGUGCUGAACUUGAAAGUCAGCUAAAUCCUGAUGUAAGGCCUCAUCAAAGAGCGUUGGGCUGUUUUUAAACCCUUGAGGCAGUCUUGUCCAAGUUAAUUGUCCUGAAAGCCCUAUUUCAGGGUCUCUCCACUCAAAGGCAAAUAAGGGUUGGCUUUUCGGGCUCAGCUGGAGGCAAAAGAAGGCAUCUUUUAGGUCUAAAACUGUAUACCAAGUAUGUGUAGGGGGCAGUGUACUGAGCAAAUUAUAAGGGUUUGGAACAGUCGGAUGAAUAUCUUCUACCCUCUUGUUGUCCUCUCUCAGAUCUUGUACUGGCCUAUAAUCUCCAGUGCCGGGUUUUUUAACAGGCAGAAGAGGCGUAUUCCAAGGCGACUGGCAGGGGACUAGGAUGCCUUGAUCCAGAAGCCUCGUAAUGUGAGGCCUUAUGCCUUGGUAAGCUUCAUGUGACAGGGGUAUUGUUUUAUGGAGACUGGAGUUGCAGUGGCCUUUAACUGAAUAAUUAAGGGGGGCUGUUGGAGCGCCAACCCCAUUCCACCAGUCUCUGCCCAAGCUAGUGGGAACUUUGUGACCCAAGAGUCUAUUUCUGUAGAUCGUGGUUUGUCUUGCCCCAGUUCAUAUAGUCUAUAUUCGUCUUCUAAUUGAAGGGUUAGAAUUUGGAGAGGGGUCCCGCGAGGGCCAGUUACUCGGGCCCCUCCUUCUUCAAAAUGAAUUUGUGCUUUUAGUUUGGUGAGCAAAUCAUGGCCCAACAAAGGGUAUGCACAAUCCGGAACAUGUAAAAAAGAAUGAGUCACCUUACUGGUAGCCAACUGAACCCGGCGAUCUGUAGUCCAUCGGUAUGUCUUGCCACCAGUGGCUCCUUGCACCCAGGCCGUCCGGUCACUGAGCUGUCCAUGAGCCCGGGUGAGGACUGAAUGUUGGGCUCCAGUGUCUACCAGAAAGGUAACGGGCUGCCCCCCGACUUCAAGAGUUAUCCUGGGCUCAGGGGGGCAGCUCCUGGCCCUGACCUCCCUAAUCUUCAUCUAGGUCUAAAAGGGAGUUUCGUGGUCGAGGCUUUCGGGGUCCUCCAGGCUUCUUGGGGCAUUCUCUGGCCCAGUGUCCUUUCUCUUUGCAAUAGGCACAUGGAUCUUUAUCCAGCUUCAGCCCCUUUCGAGCUCCCACCCUAUCUCCCUUUCUUUCCUGGCUCUGAACUACAGCGGCCAAGAUCCGAUUCAGCUCCUUGUUCCUUUUCCUCUCUCUCUCAUCUUUCUCUCUACGUACUCUUUCUUCCUUCUCCUCCUGUGUCUCUCUCUUAUUAAAAAUCCUUUCUGCUUCCUUAAGCAAGUCCUGCAGCAUAUAGCCCUGUAGUUCUCCAAUCUCUGUAACUUAAUAUCGGGUGCAGCCUGCCAGAUGAAGGACAUAGAGACACUUGUCAUCUGCCCUGGGUCAUCUGGAUCAUAGGGUGUAUACAUAUGAUAGGCCUCUUUUAGCCUUUCUAAGAAAGCUGAGGGGGUCUCAUCGGCCCCCUGUAAUACCUGCUUUACCUGAGCCAAAUUGGUAGGGCGCCGGGCAGCCCCUCGGAGACCCGCUAAGAGCAACUGGCGGUAAAGGCGUAGGUGUCCCCUACCGUCAACCAUAUUGAAGUCCCAGUUCGGUCUUGUAAGUGGGAACGCAUCAUCAAUUGCAUCAGGCAGCUGAGUCGGACGCCCAUUAUCCCCCAGGACGUGCUUCCUGGCUUCCAGGAACACUCUUUGUUUUUCUUCUGAAGUCAAGAGAGCCUGCAAGAGCUGCUGACAAUCAUCCCAAGUGGGCUGAUGUGUGAGUAAAACAGAUUCUAUUAGUUCAGUAAGGGCCACUGGGUCCUUGGAAAAAGGGGGAUUGUGCUGCUUCCAGUUAUAGAUGUCGGCCGUGGAGAAGGGCCAAUACUGGGUCUGCCCUCCCGUUCCCUGUCUAAGGGGAAAGGCCUGAGAGGUUGAAUCCGGUGCUGCUUCUCGCUUAUGGCGCAGUCUCCCCGCUAUUGGGGAAAAUGCUGCCUCGGACUGUGGUCCAACCUCUGGGGAGGCAGGCAGUCUUGCCUCUGCCUCCUGAGUCGAGCUUGUAGAAACAGGAUAGGGAGGAGGUUCUUCAGAUAGGAAAUCUAUAAGAGGAGAGUUAGAAUCUUCCGGAAGCACCGGCUUGGGUUUAAAUGUGGUAGUCUUGAGAGAUUCCUCCUUAGUAAGGACAGGAUAGAGAGAGGAAGGGGUUGAAGGAGGAACAAGUGGGGCUGAGGGAGUAGGGGGCCUACUCAGGUCCUCAAAGGGUUGUACCCAAGUGGAUCAAAGGCAAGGCUUUCCCAGGUGAUAAUAUAGGGCACCUGGUCAGGGUAUCCAUGAAGUCCCUUAUGGAAGAUCUGAUCCUUGACCUGUAAAAUAACAGUUUUAUUAAAGGUACCAUCCACCGGCCAUCCGGCUCCGAAAGUGGGCCACUCAGAAGUACAGAGGGUCUGCCACUCCCCCUUCUUGAUUUUGACCGAUUGAUCUUUGGCUCGGUCUUUGACGUCUUUCCAGUGGUCAAGAGUAAGGCUCAGAGGUGUUAUUAAAGACUGUCCCAUGUUAGUUUCAAAGAAAACUAACAUACAAACAAGACAAAUACACCCAACAAUCAAACAAGCAACAGUCAGACGCGUUGCACAGCUUCGGCGCAAAACUGAAAGUAAAAAAUCGGAGGGAUGCACCGAGGGUCUGGAUCCCUCACCCUCAACCAAAACCCCGUAUCCCUCCGAUAUGGGCGGAGCCCCGACAAAUCGGGCUUCAAACACCCUUGGAACGUCUUCCAGGGCGGCGGGGGAGAAGUCCAAGCUCGUCAGCUCCUCCUCUGGCCCGCUCAAACACUGACAGCCUAGACUCAAAUCCAGUAACCAAGCAGUUAUGAAGCAAGCCACACGACAAGAUGAGACAGAACACAACGAAUGCUGGCCAGCUUACCUCCCAGUGGGUGGUCGGUGGUCCUUGGGUAGAGAAUCUCCGAUCCCGGAUGAGCCCCCAAACGAAAGACCCUCAGAGAGAAUCUUCCCUCAGGAGGGAGAUCCUCGAGCCCAAUGACCAGUCCGAGUCCACAGGCUGCAAUCAGCAAGAGGAUUUUUAUUGAUCAAGAUGAAAGACCCCAGCUUAGCAGCAGUAACGCCAUUUUGCAAGGCUAUAUUUAAGAUGACUGGUUCAGAGAAAGGUUAGAACACUGAGUACACAGCGGCUGCCAAACAAGAUGUGUUUGGUUGAAGGCCUGGCAACAGGAGGACUGCCGUUGAGCACCUGACAAUGAGAAAAGCCCCAGGAGAGGUCCCACACCCUGGUGGGGGGCCGAGUCAGCCGUUAUGUUCCAAGAAGGUAGCUAAGAAACUUGCCCCCAGGCUGAACCCUUGCCAUAUUAGAAUCCACCAAUUAUAUCCCUGUAACCAUGCAUCUGCUUCUGUAUGCUUGCUUCUGCUCCCCAAAAUCCUAUAAAAGCCCAUCCUUGGUUCCAUGGGGCGCGCCAGUCCCCCGAGUGGCUGAAGCGCCCGCAGGUGCCUGUGCCUGUGUAUCCCGACAAUAAACCAAAUCCUCUUGCUGACUGCAUCCUGUGGUGUCUCGGUCUGGUCUUUGGAGUUGGAGGGUCUCCAUCCCGAGGGAAAGUUCUCCCAGAGAGCUUUUCAUUUGGUGCGUUGGCCGGGAAAGGAGAUCCUCCACCCAGGGACCACCGACCACCCACUGGGAGGUAAGCCGGCCGGCGUCUGUCUGUCUGUCUGAUUUUGUCUCGUUCUGCCUUAUUCUGUCUGUUCUGUGAGCGCUCAGCCAGGUCUGUUCUGUGAGCGCUCAGCCAGGUUGUUUGGAAUUUGGGCGGGACGAAGAAGGAGCUGACGAGCUCGGACUUCUCGCCCCGCAGCCCUGGAAGACGUUCCAAGGGUGUUAGGGGCCCGACUUUUCGGGGCCCAAUCUGGGAGAGGAGAAAGAUCCGGACUAACGGCACCUCUGUCUGUAUUUUUGGCUUUCAGAGGGCCCCGGACCUUUGCCACCUCCAUCUGACUUUUUGCUUUCAGUUUGGUACCAAAGCCGUGCAGCACGCCUGUCUGUUGUUUGUUUGACUGUUGGUGUUGUUUGUUUUCUCUGUGUUCUAAUCUUCCUUAGAACUAACAUGGGACAGUCCCUAACAAUGCCCCUAAGUCUCACUCUUGAUCAUUGAGAAGACGUCCACGACCGGACACACAACCAGUCCAUCGAGGUUAAAAAAGGAAAAUGACAGACUCUCUACACAUCCGAGUGGCCCACUUUCGGAGCGGGAUGGCCAGUGAAUGACACAUUUAAUAAGAUCAUUAUUUUACAGGUUAAAGAUCGGGUUGUCCACGGACAUCCUGACCAGGUUUCUUAUAUUAUCACUUGAGAGAGUCUCGCCUUAACCCCCCCCCCCCGGGCGGAACCCUUCGUGAACCCGAAUUGGCCUCCCCUCAACCCCCAGCCUGUCCCCUCGGCCCCGCCCGGUCCGCCGGCCACGUCUUCCUCUCUCUACCUUUGUGAAAUCAGAGCCUUCUAAGAAACCUGUCCUCCCGGCAGACCCAAACUCCCCUCUCAUAGAUCUUCUCUCUGACAGGCCCGGCUGAAACGGAGGAGGCAGAGCCGCCGGCCAGAUCAGUUGCCGGGCCACAGUCUGAUAAGGGUUUCUCCCCUGUCGCAGGGAGAUUGCGCAAUAAGCGCGAGGUGAUGCCAGAUUUCAACCUCCCAGGCUUUCCCACCUAGACAGGGAACCGGUGGCCAGACCCAAUACUGGCCGUUUUCAGCAGCUGACUUACCCACCAGCCUAUGACUGCCAACAGCUCUUACAGGCCCUCUUAACCUCAGAAAAAAAACAAAAAAACAAAAAAAACAAAGAGUGUUCCUAGAGGCCAGAAAGCAUGUUCUGGGAGAUGAUGGGCGUCCCACCCAGCUGCCUGAGGACCAAACUGAGAUUUUAAUACAGCUGAAGGUAAGGGACACCUACGCCUUUAUCGCCAGUUGCUUCUAGCGGGUCUCCGAGGGGCUAUACGACGCCCUACUAAUUUGGCUCAGGUAAAACAGGUAUUACAGGAAGCAGGGGAAACUCCCUCCGCCUUUCUAGAGAGACUUAAGGAGGCCUACCGUAUGUACACUCCCUAUGAUCCAGAUGACCCAGGACAAAUGACGAGUGUCUCUAUGUCCUUCAUCUGGCAGGCUGCUCCAGAUAUCAGGACUAAGUUACAGAGGUUAGAAAAUUUGCAGGGCUAUACAUUACAGGAUUUACAUAAAGAAGCUAAAAAGAUUUUUAAUAAGAGAGAGAAUUGAGUCGAAUCUUGGCCGCCGUAGUUCAGGGCCAAGAAAGGAAGGGAGAUAGGGGGGAGCUCGAAAGGGGCUGAAGCUGGAUAAAGAUCAAUGUGCCUAUUACAAAGAGAAAGGACACUGGGCCAGAGAGUGCCCCAAGAAGCCUGGCGGACCCCGAAAGCCUCGACCACGAACCUCCCUCUUGGCUCUAGAUAAAGAUUAGGGAGGUCAGGGCCAGGAGCCCCCCCCCCCCUGAGCCCAGGGUAACGCUUAAGUUGGGGGGCAGCCGGUUACUUUCCUGGUAGACACAGGAGCCCAGCAUUCAGUCCUCACUCAAGCUUCAGGACAACUCAGCGACCGGACGGUCUGGGUACAAAGAGCUACUGGUGAGAAACAAUACCGAUGGACUACGGACCGCCGGGUUCAGCUGGCUACUGGUAAGGUGACCCAUUCCUUCUUACAUGUUCCGGACUGCCCGUACCCUCUGCUGGGCCGUGACCUGCUCACCAAACUAAAAGCACAAAUUCAUUCUCAGGAAAGAGGGGCCCGAAUAACUGGCCCCCACGGAACUCCCCUUCAAGUUCUAUGAAUAUAGACUAUAUGAACUGGGACAGGACAAGCCACAAUCCCUAGAAAUAGACACUUGGGUCACGAAUUUUCCACUGGCUUGGGCAGAGACUGGUGGGAUGGGGUUGGCACUCCAACAGCCCCCCUUAAUUAUACAGUUAAAGGCCACUACAACUCCAGUCUCCAUAAAACAAUACCCCCUGUCACAUGAAGCUUAUCAAGGUAUAAGGCCUCACAUUACGAGGCUUCUAGAUCAAGGCAUCCUAAUCUCCUGCCGGUCGCCUUAGAAUACGCCUCUUCUGCCUGUUAAGAAACCCGGCACUGGAGAUUAUAGGCCAAUACAAGACUUGAGAAAGGUCAACAAGAGGAUAAAAGAUAUUCAUCUGACUGUUCCAAACCCUUACAAUUUGCUCAGUAACUGUUCAUUGAUGAGAAACGGGUAUGCUAAAGGGGUCCUAACACAAAGGUUGGGACCCUGGAAACGCCCUGUGGCCUACCUGUCUAAGAAAUUGGACCCUGUGGCCUCCGGCUGGCCACCGUGCCUAAGGAUGGUGGCUGCUAUUGCUGUCCUGAUCAAGGACGCUGGAAAAUUGACAUUGGGACAGCCACUCACCAUCCUAACACCCCACACAGUGGAGGCCUUGGUAAAACAGCCCCCAGACCGCUGGCUCUCUAAUUCCCACAUGACCCACUACCAAGCCUUGUUACUGGAUGCAGAACGGGUUCAGUUUGGGCCCGUAGUCGCCCUCAAUCCUGCCACCUUGCUUCCUCUACCAGAGGAGACAGAACAGCAUGACUGACUACAAAUCCUCGCAGAAAUACAUAGAACCAGGCCGGACCUAUCGGACCAGCCUCUUCAGAAUGCUGACCACACAUGGUACACGGAUGACAACAGCUUCUUGGCAGAGGGAGAACAAAAAGGCUGGAGCUGCGGUCACUACGGAGGACAAAGUGAUUUGGGCGAAAGCCCUGCCUGCUAAUACCUCUGCACAACGGGCUGAACUCAUCGCCUUGACUCAGGCGCUCAAGAUGACAAAAGGUAAGAGGCUAAAUAUAUAUACAGACAGCCGUUAUGCCUUUGCCAUGGCACACAUCCACGGGGAGAUCUACCGGAGGCGGGGGCUGCUCACAUCUGAGGGUAAAGAUAUUAAAAAUAAGGCUAAAAUUCUGGCCCUCUUAGAAGCCCUAUUCUUGCCCAAAAGACUGAGUAUUAUACAUUGUCCAGGACACCAGAAAGGGCACAACCCAGAGGCAUGAAAAAACCGGCUGGCCGAUGCCACGGCGCGAGAAGCGGCCAUGAACAAACAAAUCUUGCCCUUAAAUAGCCCAGACCAACCCACGCCCCCACCAGUGGGACAAACUAGUUGGGUUUAUGCCCAUGAGGACAUAGAGCUCCUAAAAAAAUGGGGGCCAUCUACCACCCUCAACUAAAACAGUGGGUCUACAAAGGACUUUUGAAUUGAUCUCCUUUUUACAUAAGAAGAUAAAAACCUUACUAGAUCGAGAAGAGAUAAAUCUGUGUUUUUUUUUGAAUUGGGACAAAGCGAUACAAAAGGUGACUGAGAGUUACAAAGCGUGCGCUCAGGUUAACCCGGGAAGGACCAUGAUUGGACAAGGAGUUCGUCCUAGGGGACACCGUCCCGACAUCCAUUGAGAAAUUGAUUUUACUAAAAUUAAACCAGAUAUAUAUGGAUACAAGUAUCUCCUAGUGUUUGUAGACACCUUCUCAGGAUGGGUCAAAGCCUUCCCCACGAAGCACGAGACUACAAAAAUGGUCACCAAGAAGCUCCUCGAGGAAAUCUUUCCCAGCCCUUCUCUGAGGGCCCAUUUACAGGCCCUACAGAUUGUGCAGAGAGACGUCUGGAGACCUUUGGCCGCUGCUUACCAGGACAAGCUUGAACAUCCGGUGGUGCCACACCCGUUCCAGAUUGGAGACACCGUGUGGGUGCGCAGACACCAGACCAAGAAUCUCGAGCCACGGUGGAAAGGACCCUACACCGUCCUCCUGACUACCCCGACCGCCCUAAAGGUAGACGGAGUCUCGGCUUAGAUCCACGCACCACACGUCAAGACAGUCCGGUCUGAGGAAUUGACUAAUCACAACACUACACCCCAGACAUGGAGAGUUCAGCACACUCCAAACCCCUUAAAGUUAAAACUCCUACGUGGCUCCUCCUAGUCCUUUUGUGGCCUAGAGUCAGUGGGGGAAUAAGCCCCCACCAGACAGAAAUUUCUUGACCAAGUCGAGUGAAAGAUUUCACUCAAAGUUAACAAAAAAAAAAUGGGGGAAUGAAAGACCCCAGCUUAGCAGCAGUAACGCCAUUUUGCAAGGCUAUAAUUAAGAUGACUGGUUCAGAGAAAGGUUAGAACACUGAGUACACAGCGGCUGCCAAACAAGAUGUGUUUGGUUGAAGGCCUGGCAACAGGAGGACUGCCGUUGAGCACCUGACAAUGAGAAAAGCCCCAGGAGAGGUCCCACACCCUGGUGGGGGGCCGAGUCAGUCCUUAUGUUUCAAGAAGGUAGCUAAGAAACUUGCUCCCGGGCUAAACCCUUGCCAUAUUAGAAUCCACCAAUUAUAUCCCUGUAACCAUGCAUCUGCUUCUGUAUGCUUGCUUCUGCUCCCCAAAAUCCUAUAAAAGCCCAUCCUUGGUUCCAUGGGGCGCGCCAGUCCCCCGAGUGACUGAAGCGCCCGCAGGUGCCUGUGCCUGUGUAUCCCGACAAUAAACCAAAUCCUCUUGCUGAUUGCA